rnacentral:lncRNA from 1 species
GGCUUACAACCUGUGGAUUGAUUCAUCCUUGUUGCCUUUAUCUCUUGCCAGUUCCAGGCCCAAUCCUCUUGGUUCAGCAGUGAGCUCAAAACCAGGGAGCUGAAACUGUUGACCACACCUGCCAGCAAAGGGCAAGAGCAGAAAGCUGCAAUGCUCAUUGUGAGUUAUGGCAUCAUUCACCCCAACCUGGUGUGCUGAAACCAACAACAGUGGGAUGGAGACCCUGCACACCAGAUUCAACGAGAGGUCCCCACAACGGCGGAAAUGCUGUUUUGGUCUCAAUUUCUAUUUUCAUCUUUCUCCAUUACGUUAUCUGAAGUACCAGAAGACAUCAUCUCUACUGAACACUUUGGGGCAUAAAUGAUCUGGC